UAGUACACUUAGAUUUAAUUAAUAAUACUAGAAUAUUAGGAGUUAUGUUCUUUAAACUUAAAAAAUUUGGCGGUGUUUUAGUCUAGUUAGAGGAACCUGUCUUAUAAACGAUACAACACGAAUCAUCUUACUUAUUUUAGUAGUUCAGUUUGUAUACCGUCAUUAUAAGAUAAUUUAGGAGAGAAUAUUGUUGAAACCAUAUUAUUGAGUAUAUUAGAUCAAGGUGCAGCUUAUAGGUAAGUAAAUAUGGGUUACAAUAAAAUUUAUUUAAUACGAAUUAAAUAUUUAAAUGCAUUUAUGAAGGAGGAUUUAAUUGUAAGAAAGGAAAUAGUAAGAUUUUCUGAUAAAAGCUCUAAAUUAU
rnacentral:rRNA from 1 species